UACAGAGGGUGCGAGCGUUAAUCGGAAUUACUGGGCGUAAAGUGUGCGCAGGCGGCCGCGCAAGUCGAGUGUGAAAUCCCCGAGCUUAACUUGGGAAUUGCGCUCGAAACUACGGCGCUGGAGUAUGGCAGAGGAAGGUGGAAUUCCACGUGUAGCGGUGAAAUGCGUAGAGAUGUGGAGGAACACCGAUGGCGAAGGCAGCCUUCUGGGCCAAUACUGACGCUCAUGCACGAAAGCGUGGGGAGCAAACAGG
rnacentral:rRNA from 1 species